GACGAACCGUGCGAACGUUGUUCGGAAUCACUGGGCUUAAAGCGUGUGUAGGCGGCUCGUUAAGUGUCUUGUGAAAUCCCACGGCUCACCCGUGGAACUGCUGGGCAUACUGGCGAUCUUGGGCCAACUAGGGGCAACUGGAACAAGCGGUGGAGCGGUGAAAUGCGUAGAUAUCGCUUGGAACGCCAAAGGUGAAAACAGGUUGCUGGGGUUGUGCCGACGCUGAGACACGAAAGCCAGGGGAGCAAACGGG
rnacentral:rRNA from 1 species